UUUGCCAGAAAAUUGGUUUUGAAACAAAUUCUGGGUUCUCUUCUCUGCAAAAUCGGAAGUUAAGGUCAGUUAUUGUUGCUUUGUCUCUUAUUUCUUUCUCUCCCUAAAAUGGUGAUAUAGGAGGAAUGCAAUUUUAAAGAUGUUCAUUGUUACAGCUUCAAAGAAGCAAGGGAUGUUAUUUGCUCAUCCAGGAUUGAACAUUUAAGAGAUUUGGAUACAAUAUAAUACAAAAAACAACAGAGUUAUACCUCCUUUGAAAUGGUGGUAGACUUUGGUUUCUAGUACUGCUCAACUUAUCUUCCGCUUUUCCCGGCCGGAACCAGAAAUGGCAUAAGCGAUCAGUCAAAAGAUUAUGCAGAUAAAAUUAGAAAAAGAAAAACAUUUCAUCUUGAUUUGAAUUAAAUAAUGUUGGGUGAGAGAGAAUAGAAUUAUUACCUAUAGAGGCAAGUAAUCUGGUUGAUGGCAGAUUCCUGUAUCAAAAACAAAGGAGAAUGAGGUGUGGCAAAUUCUUCAUUAAUGGGUUCAAGAAAGAAAAGUGGAGGUAUACAAGGAAUGAAAAGGUUGGGUGGUUUAUAAAAGCAAAGACAAAGGAAGAAGUGGUGGUGUAGGUGAUGUUCAUAGGCCUAGAGACGAGCAUGCAAAGCAAGCUUGGGUUAUAUGCAUUACUUUGUUCGCAUGCAAAAGUCGGCUUUGGAUAUUCUUAACCCUCAGUCUACCACAAGAUACGUAUUCUUUCUUUGUCUUCAGGCUUUUGGGUUUUUAUUUAUUUCAUCUCGUUUUAAACAGCCUCAAGGGACGUUUCCUUUCCCAAAAGUUUGACAAGAAUCUUGUUUUUGCCUGCUCACCUAGCUUUGCCUUUUUAGUCGUUGCCUACGUUAUUACCACCACGCUUUUCAAGUUUUUAAAUCUAUUUAUUGGAUUUCUUUUCCAAACAAAUUUAUAAAUGUUACUAUAUAAUUUUCAGG
rnacentral:lncRNA from 1 species